rnacentral:rRNA from 1 species
UAAAGCGCAUGCAGGCGGCCUGUUAAGUCAGAUGUGAAAGCCCGGGGCGUUAACCUCGGAAAUUGCAUUUGUAAACUGGCAGGCUAGAGUCUUGUAGAGGGGGGUAGGAAUUUCAGGUGUAGCGGUGAAAUGCGUAGAGAUCUGAAGGAAUACCAGUGGCGAAGGCGGCCCCCUGGACAAAGACUGACGCUCAGAUGCGAAAGCGUGGGGAGCCAAACAGGAUUAGAUACCCCUGGUAG